rnacentral:rRNA from 1 species
AACGAACGCUGGCGGCAGGCCUAACACAUGCAAGUCGAGCGCCCCUUUCGGGGGGAGCGGCGGACGGGUGAGUAACGCGUGGGAACGUACCCUUUGCUACGGAAUAGCCUCGGGAAACUGGGAGUAAUACCGUAUGUGCCCUUCGGGGGAAAGAUUUAUCGGCAAAGGAUCGGCCCGCGUUGGAUUAGGUAGUUGGUGGGGUAAUGGCCUACCAAGCCGACGAUCCAUAGCUGGUUUGAGAGGACGAUCAGCCACACUGGGACUGAGACACGGCCCAGACUCCUACGGGAGGCAGCAGUGGGGAAUCUUAGACAAUGGGCGCAAGCCUGAUCUAGCCAUGCCGCGUGAGCGAUGAAGGCCUUAGGGUUGUAAAGCUCUUUCAGGGGGGAAGAUAAUGACUGUACCCCCAGAAGAAGCCCCGGCUAACUCCGUGCCAGCCGCCGCAGUAA